AGCCAAUAGAUACCCUGGUAGUCCACGCCCUAAACGAUGUCUACUAGUUGUUGGUGUAGUAAAAUCCAUGAGUAAACGCAAACUAAACGCGUGAAGUAGACCGCCUGGGGAGUACGGUCGCAAGAUUAAAAACUCAAAGGAAUUGACGGGGGCCCGGCACAAGCGGUGGAUUAUGUGGAUUAAAUUCGAUGCAACGCGAAAAACCUUAACCUGGCCUUGACAUGCCACUAACGAAGCAGAGAUGCAUUAGGUGCCCGUAACGGGAAAGUGGACACAGGUGCUGCAUGGCUGUCGUCAGCUCGUGUCGUGAGAUGUUGGG
rnacentral:rRNA from 1 species